GGCCAGACUCCUACGGGAGGCAGCAGUGGGGAAUAUUGCACAAUGGGGGAAACCCUGAUGCAGCGACGCCGCGUGAGUGAAGAAGUAUUUCGGUAUGUAAAGCUCUAUCAGCAGGGAAGAAAAUGACGGUACCUGACUAAGAAGCCCCGGCUAACUACGUGCCAGCAGCCGCGGUAAUACGUAGGGGGCAAGCGUUAUCCGGAUUUACUGGGUGUAAAGGGAGCGUAGACGGCAGCGCAAGUCUGAAGUGAAAUCCCAUGGCUUAACCAUGGAACUGCUUUGGAAACUGUGCAGCUGGAGUGCAGGAGAGGUAAGCGGAAUUCCUAGUGUAGCGGUGAAAUGCGUAGAUAUUAGGAGGAACACCAGUGGCGAAGGCGGCUUGCUGGACUGUAAAUGACGCUGAGGCUCGAAAGCGUGGGGAGCAAACAGGAUUAGAUCCCCGAGUA
rnacentral:rRNA from 1 species